AUAUUCAGACUAGCCAUGCACGUCUAGUACAAACUAAAUGAUGGUGAAACUGCAAAUGGCUCAUUACAACGGUUAUGAUGUACCCGGGAGUUCCGAUGGAUAUUUCCAGUAACACUAGAACUAAUACAUGUCCCUGCGUUUAUUAGUUUCGCACAGUCCGUCGCUGAGUCAUGGUAAACAGUUGAUCGACUCGACGUCCCGGAACAGUUUCCGCCCCAUCAGCUUCGAUGGUUGGGUAUUGGCCUACCAUUGCAACAACGGGUAACGAGGAAUUAGGGUUUGAUUUCGGAGAGGGAGCCUGAGAAACGGCUACCACAUCUACGGAUAGCAGCAGGCGCGCAAAUUACCCAAUGCAGACACUGUGAGGUAGUGACGAGAAAUAAUAAAGCGGGACUUCUGUUUCGCUAUUAUAAUGAGGAAUAACCAAAGGUCAUUCCGAUUAGCAACUGAUGGGAAAGUCUGGUGCCAGCAGCCGCGGUAAUACCAGCGUCAGUAGCAUA
rnacentral:rRNA from 1 species